GUCAUCGCUCCCACAAACACAAACCCAGCAAAAAACAGCAGAGUGAUGAAGAUCAACAGAAGCAGUGAGCUCAAAACCAGAAGCGUCACUGAUGCCAAGAAGCUGAAACCCAUCAAGAACACAAGCGACCCUCCAAUUUCCAAGCCUCCCAUGGCUGCCAAGACCACCUUGGUGUUUUGGGAUUUCGUUUGGUCUUGAUCUCAUCAGUUUUCGAUCGUCUUCACCUAAUCAAUUUUCGAUCAUCUCACCCCGCUUCGAACUCGCCGCCUCCUCCUUCUCCCAUUCCAAAAUCCCAAUCUCGUGCGCUUUCAAUCCUUGCUGCGAAAUCGGCGCCAAGAACUGAGCGAUUUGGGGAGGGGGGCACUUUUCCUGGGAUUCGAAGUGGUGACCAAGGGGGCCCUUUUCUUGUGGCUUUUUGAAAUGUUUUGUUUUUUUGAGGGAGCUUUUUUAACAUGAAAAAGGACAUGGAGUUGUUAUAAACUGCCUUUGGUUUCAUUUGAUUGAUGUUUUUGGGUUGAUAUUCAGACAUAUAUGUUUAGUACAAACUGCCUUUGAUUUUAAAACCCGCAGCAUCGCGCGGGCACCUUUUGCUAGUAUAGUGACUAUAAAUAUUGUUAAACUAGCAUGUACAUGUAUAACUAAAACAAUGGUGGAAAAGUAUAAAUUGGGUACAAAAUAGUCUUUUCGGACGACCACUAGAUGCCCUCGCAAAUAGACAUCCUCUUGCGAGAGCUACUGAUUUCCCUUGGCAAUAAAUAAUCAUUUCCGACAACAUCUAAUUCCCGUCAAAACUCCUUCGGAAAUGGUUGUGGUUUUCGACAACGUGUGGGUUGCAUACAAGCAUGGGAUGCCUCUUGAAGGAGGCAAAAUUGCUGAUUCUGAGCCUGUGGAUUUAUUUUCCAGUAGUGCUCAUAAUAUUCCAAAGGCUCAAGCUCAGGCUCAUCAUGUUCAUGAUGAAGAUUCUAAUCACAACCAGUCCCAGAUGAAACAAGAUUAUCAUACUAGAAGAGAAUGUGGUCCACAAUCUGCUGCUGAAUAGAAGGCUUUCAACUUUGUUUUUUGUUCCUUUUUUUGUUCUUUCUCUUUUAUAUAUAUAUAUAUAUAUAUUUCGAAAUUCCUUCUUCUGCUGCUGGUUUCUUUGUUAUGUGCUCGUUGUUGUAUGCUUUGAGUUGUAAGUUUUCUUCUUUCUUUUUUCCUCUCCUUGUGCCUUGUGUGUAUUUGAGAGAUAGAGAAAGAAAGAGGCGACAAUUGGAAUGAAAUAUUGGACAAGAA